rnacentral:rRNA from 1 species
AGAGUUUGAUCCUGGCUCAGGAUGAACGCUGGCGGCGUGCUUAACACAUGCAAGUCGAACGAAGCAGGAGGGUGCUUGCACCUUCCUGCUGAGUGGCGGACGGGUGAGUAACACGUGGAUAAUCUGCCCUGCACAGGGGGACAACAGCUAGAAAUGGCUGCUAAUACCGCAUAAGCCUACAGCCUCGCAUGAGGGAGCAGGAAAAGAAAUUCGGUGCAGGAUGAGUCCGCGUCUGAUUAGCUAGUUGGAGGGGUAAAAGCCCACCAAGGCAACGAUCAGUAGCCGGCCUGAGAGGGUGACCGGCCACAUUGGGACUGAGACACGGCCCAAACUCCUACGGGAGGCAGCAGUGGGGAAUAUUGCACAAUGGGGGAAACCCUGAUGCAGCGACGCCGCGUGAGCGAGGAAGUAUUUCGGUAUGUAAAGCUCUAUCAGCAGGGACGAAAAAAGACGGUACCUGACUAAGAAGCCCCGGCUAACUACGUG